rnacentral:rRNA from 1 species
UAGGGAAUAUUGCACAAUGGACGAAAGUCUGAUCCAGCAAUGCCGCGUGCAGGAUGAAGGCCUUCGGGUUGUAAACUGCUUUUUGUACGGAACGAAACGGCGAACUCUAAUAAAGUUUGCUAAUGACGGUACCGUAAGAAUAAGCACCGGCUAACUACGUGCCAGCAGCCGCGGUAAUACGUAGGGUGCAAGCGUUAAUCGGAAUUACUGGGCGUAAAGCGUGCGCAGGCGGUUAUAUAAGACAGAUGUGAAAUCCCCGGGCCCAACCUGGGACCUGCAUUUGUGACUGUAUAGCUAGAGUACGGUAGAGGGGGAUGGAAUUCCGCGUGUAGCAGUGAAAUGCGUAGAUAUGCGGAGGAACACCGAUGGCGAAGGCAAUCCCCUGGACCUGUACUGACGCUCAUGCACGAAAGCGUGGGGAGCAAACAGGAUUAGAUACCCCCGUAGUCCCUGAGCGGGCUGGCAAGGCGCAU